rnacentral:piRNA from 1 species
UGCUAAGAGGCAGACAGUAUAGAACCAGAGC